CUUUGGGUCACAUAUUUAAGUGAAAUUUUCAUUCCUGCGGAAUCAUAACAGAAAGCUAGUUACAAAAAAACACCUAGACAUUUUUUUCACAAAACAAAUUCCAACUUCCCAAAUAUAUAAAAUAAAUAAAAAACGCUGUUACAAACUCCAAAGAUAAGCCAAUCAUUAUUCCUUGAUCUCAGUAACUUUCCAUUAGUUCCAUAACAAAAGUUAAUAGAGCAGAGAAACAGUCCUAAGUUUGGUUUCCUCAUCAAAUUAUCUAAAUUGCACUGAGACAUAGUCAUCAAGUAAACAAUGUUUCUUAUAAACAUUUUUCCAUAAAUUAAUAUUUUUUAAAAUUUUAACCAAAAUAUAAAACAAAGUUUAUACCAAACAAAAAGUUAAAAGUAUUUCCUGAGGGCAGCCCCGUUGGCGCAGCGGUUUAGCGCCGCCUGCAGCCCGGGGUGUGAUCCUGAAGACCCGGGAUCAAGUCCCACAUCGGGCUUCCUGCAUGGGGCCUGCUUCUCCUUCUGCCUGUGUCUCUGCCUCUCUCUUCGCUCUCUCUCUGAAUGAAUAAAUAAAUAAAUCUUUAAAAAAAAAAAAAAGUAUUUCCUGAAAACUAUGCUUAUAAUCAAGAAAUUUUAGCGGUGAAUAAAUUCUGCACUCAAGUCUCAAGUGGGUCAAACACUCAAUUUCAUGUGAAAAGUGGCAUACAAGUCAACUGGGAUUCUAAAUGUUAGAGAAAACCUUGAUUGAGAAGUUAAAAUAAUUUGUCUACAUAGUUAAAAAUGGCAGAAUUUAAAGUAUUCUGGCUCCAGUAGGCUAAUGACACUAAAAACUUCCUAGGUUUACUGGCAAUUGACUAAAUGAGACAUAUGAUACCUAACUGUUAGGAGUACGGCUAUCUUCAAAGAAUCUAGACAGAGUUGCUAUGCACCCUGGCUGGCAUCUUGGAAAACAUUAAGAUCUGAAUGGGCUACAGGAUAUUAAAAAGUUUUAAAUGUCUUAGUGAUGGCUCCUGCAAAAUUAUGAUUAAUGCUGUCCAUGACAUUGUGUGUGUGUGUGUGUGUGUGUGUAUAUAUAUAUAUAUAUAUAUAUAUAUAUAUAUAUAUGAUGAAUUUAAUUCUGAAAAGAUAUCAAAAGUUAGAAAAGUCUUGCCACCUGUGUAUAAACGUCAGUAGGAAGCUUCAGAAGAUGUUGGUUUCCCAUCCCUUACUAUGUCCCCCACCCUAUUUAGACUCUUUGGCCACAGAAUUGGCCCACUGUUAUUUAAGCUAGCCACAUUCCAGAUGACAAGAUCUUGUAAAUCAAUCUCUCUCCCCUCCCAACACCAGGGGUUUGUGCCCAGCUAUCAGAACCACUAUUCUUUUGGACUUACUUACCAAACUAUGUCUUCUGGCAUCAAAUCAUUUAAACUACAUAAGACAGUUGCAAUAUUUUCCUGUAGAUAGGGUGCUGAGUGAGGUCUCAGCAGAUAGGGACUUUAAGGCCUGUGACCAUGGACAAAUCAGUCUUUCUAGGCUUCAAAUUUCUUCAUCUAAGGUCCCCUCUAGAUCAGAACUCUGUAAUUCUAAGUCCCCAGGUUAGAAAGAGUCUGUAGGUAGAAGCCUCUGGUUUUCGCCAUGCCUUGUAAUGGGCAACUGGCUUCUCAGAUGUGUGAGAGUCAGAGGGUGGGUAACAGUCAUAGCUGACUGCAGCUGGAAGAGCCUCUCUUUUGAAAUCCCAUGGUAGGUAUUUAGAUAGGAGACAGGUCUUUGCUAUGAGCCACUGAUUUAAAACCUGAGUGGCUGUCAGUAAAGCUACUCCCUCUUCCAUAUCUAAAGAGUUUAUAACCAGCAUUUUCCUUUAUGUUCUCAUCCCCAUUCCCUCUCACACACUCAAACUCCCACUUCCCAAUCAACACUUCUUGGGGGAAUUCUAUUACUUCUAAUGGAUCCUUAACGACAAAAAUAUGGGGAGGGGGACAAUUCCAAGUACAAUAUACAUCAACCCAUCUUUUUAGACAAUAAAAUAUAGUUAACUUAACCCUAACCUACAGAGCAUCUAUGUAUCUUUUUUUUUUUCUAUCUUUUUAACACUUCUUAUUGUUAUUCCUGCCCAUAUACCUGAAUCUAUUUACUCAAGUUCAAAUGAUCUACACUUUUUGAUGCUUUGGGCUAUUUUAGUUAACUACCAAGCAAGACCCAUCUAUGGAAGAAGGCAGGAAAACACAUAGCAGGAUCAGCUGUCUUAGUCAAAGCCAAGUAGUCAAAAUAUGUACAAGCUUCUCAGAGGUUCAUUCUUCACUCUGCUCACUCAGGAAGUUAACUAUUAAUAUCUGAAGAGGCUUCAUUCAAACUGUAUUGACACUCAUUAGUUUGAGAUGCCUCUGUCUAAAAUGAUUAUCUGGCCAUUUGCAAAUGGAUAGGAUUAUGAAAGAGCCUUAUUAGAACAGUGAUUCCAUAACCCCGCAUCUAACUGGCAAAGUGUAAAAUUAGUCGCUGUCAGGUUACCUGGCAUUCGCAGAGUUCCUCCUGAUAGCUCAUGCUAUUGACAGAGUUAUGGUAUGACCUACUAAAUAUGUAAAUACUGCUUCUACCAAAUUCACUUUGUCCCAAACCCAAUGAGAGCCCAUCUGGAGAAGUGAAGUAUAUUAUUCAAACAUGGUUUCUUCUUUAAAGGAAGAAUUCGGGAUGCCUGGGUGGCUCAGCAGUUGAGCAUCUACCUUUGGCUCAGGGCAUGAUCCUGGUCCGGGGAUAGAGUCCCCUGUCAGGCUCCCUGUGGGGAGUCUGCUUCUCUCUCUGCCUAUGUCUCUGCCUCUCUCUCUGUGUCUCUCAUGAAUAAAAAAUAAAUCUUAAGAAAAAAAAUAAAGGAAGAAUUCUAAGAAGCAUAAUUCCAAAAUGAAUUUUCUUCUUUAAAAACAAAUUGUAGAUAAUUACUUAAACCUACAUGAAAAACAGAACUUUUCCAGGUUGUAUCAUGGUUGAGUAUCAUAAAUGAUAUUUAACUGUCAUAUGAUAUUUAACUGUUCAUUGGCCCUUCCUAUAACUUUCCAACUGUCUUCUCCAAUAAAGAUGCCUGAUAUAAAAUAAAAAACACCCAAAUGGGAACCUGUUCCUUCUGCUGGGUCAACUAUCAGUGAUAUUUCCAAAUUACUUUUUUUUGGUCAAUUAGAAUAUCAUAAUUCUUACAUUGGAAUUUAAGGUAAAUCUGGAUUUUUAAAUUUUAUUGCAUUAAAUAUGUUUUCUUUAAGGUUUUUAAACCAAAACCUACCAGAAUUUAGAAACUUCAGAUUUAACUUGGUUUCAUGAUUGCUUAAUACUAAGAAAGAAGUUUCAGCCAGUAAUAGUCUAAAUUUAAAUGUACU
rnacentral:lncRNA from 1 species